AUUCUUUUGUAGUUUAUAAGCCUGAUAAUUGGGUUUCACGUGCAUGUAUGAGAUGUGCCUCCCUCAAACCUUUUUACGACGUUGGCACAUUACCCAUCUGACG
rnacentral:snoRNA from 1 species